rnacentral:lncRNA from 1 species
UUCUUUAUUAUCUGGGUGCAUUAUGUACUAUGCAUGUUACUAACUGUGAGUAUUGUUGCCAGUCAAUAUGCAUUCGUCUACUUUGGAUCUUUUUUUUCUUACUUUAUACUUGCUUUGCUAUUUGUCGUGUAUGCACAUGAUUUGGAUUGAUCUACUUAGAAGCAUGAGUUUAUGAAAAUUGAUAUCUACUAGGAUUGCUCUGCUCCUGUUGACAUGCGAUGCCAAUUGUGACAUGACAGAUUUGUCUGAAGUGGAACGGAUGGUCGUCACCUUUGACUAAGCUGCUGAGCCCAAGAACUUUGGCAGACUGGUGGCCUAGCUGUUCAACUUCUCAACACGGUUCAAUUUUGUCUUUGGUCAUCCUUGCAUACACUCGGCAGAGAAGUAUCUAUACUGAAUUUCUGCUCUAGGUAAUUUAUACUCAUAUAAUUUAUCUCUAAUACCCAGUCCGAAUCAUUAGUGCUAGAUCGACAAUUUUUAAGCCCUAUUUGUGGAAGUGCAUUGCAUGUGUAACUAAACUGGGCGCGACCAAUCUUGAGGUUUACCAUGAAUUUUUAUAAAAUGGUCCGUAAGCAAGGCAUGGGGCAAUCACGAAUAACUCAUAUAUGAGGGUAUGUGCCCCUUGUGCUAUAUUUAUAGCAGGUUGUACUCACUACUCAGCAUAAAUUGUGAGGUUUGAUCUGGUAGAGAAGGACCGAGAUAGUCUGGUCUUACCUACAUAUAGGAGUCGUUAUUGAGGACUGAGCAUCGAGCGUGAUUCCGUUUCCAGUCCAUGUAGAUUAGCCAUUUGACGACUUAGCUAGAAACUUUAUAGGUUUUUAGUAUAUAUAUCUUCAGUUAUGUUGUCAUGCUGUGACACGAAUUAAUAGAAAAUAACCAUGUAGUAUCUUUUUUUUAUACGAGUAAAGUGUGUACAAUAAAUUUGCAAAAAUGGUCCAUCAACUAGCUGAAUAAAGAAACACUCUAUGGGAAAGGUGAACAAGCACACUAAAGCACACAAGUCGUAGUAAUUCCAAAGUAUUUUUAUAACUGCGUUUUAGUAGACUAUGUCAUGAUUUGCUUUUUCUGAACCUUGAUAACAUUAUCCUGGAUUUGAGACAACAGUCUACAAAUUUUUCCCUUUAUUUUUUAUCAUUGUGAAGACCAAAUCUACAAAAUCAACCAGUUGUGAAUUCAUCAAGUACGAGACCUCUGUCUAUAUCAUUUCUGCAGGUCGAACAUGAAAGGAUGCCGGCUGAUUGCUUUUCCAAAACUGAUGUUUCAUGUCUUGAAACUUUCCCCAUUUUUGUUUUCAGAGGACAAAUGAUAUCUCGGAUUAGUUAGCUUCUUUUUACAGUUCCUAUCCAUUGAACUAUAUGCAAUUUUCAGCUAGACCUCUUUUUUACAGUUCCUAUCCAUUGAACUAUAUGCAAUUUUCAGCUAGACCUCUUUUUUACAGUUCCUAUCCAUUGAACUAUAUGCAGUGUCAACGAACAGCGUGAGAUGAGAUAGCUGCAACGGUGGGGCCAAACAAUCCUAUGGCAGCAGCAAUAGUCAGCCCACAGUAAAUCUCUGUUAAGUGCUCCUUUCUCUUUACCUUUUUACUCCCGUGUCUCUGAUUUUGAUUUCAUAAUCUAUGUUUUUAGCUAGGCACCAUGUUUGCGGAUUUCAUAAAGAAGGGUAGAUGAAGAAGCUAUCAGAAGAUUUUGUUGAAUGAAACUUGCAUUCUGAUGUUACGAGUGUAGAAAUAUAUUCUGCAUUUUUAGGAAAUUAGAUAAUAGGACCGGCUAAGGCUAGCCAACUUGCCUCCAGAGGGCUCCCUCGCGCGCAGCCCUUUGUGGCCGUCUGAUCUGGCCUUCGGCGCGUCUGGAUCGUUGGAUAUUCCCCUUACGGUCAAAUCUUUUUCACCUCACGGGUGUUUUUCGUGUCCAAUGACGGGUGGGAUCGCCUCGAGCUCGCAUUGGCCGGGUCACUCUCGCGCAUGUGCGGGACGUUUUUGCCCAAUCCGCUGCUCACGCACCGCAUUGACCUCCUUGCCCAAUCCCCUCGUGCCGCACCAGCUGAAACUUAGCCCCUUUCCCCGAUCCCCACAGCAGCCGCACCCUCUCCUCGCUUGCAGCCGCCUCCUCUCCUUUCCCCCACGCCGCCGGCCUUGUCUUUUCAUUUCUUAUGUGAAAUAAAUCAUCAGUGGCAUUCUUGGUUUCCCAUAUUGUUUUUGGUUAUAGAUUUAAAGUGACCUUUUCUGUUUUUUGCAAACCAGAGGGGUUGUUCCAAUUAUAAAUGUAUUGCAACUUCUUUUGGCUGCUAUAAAAUGCUUGGUUGCUCAAUAUAGUAGAUGCAUGUGAGACUACACAUUGGUGCAAUAUUAGUUCUUAACUUCAUGAGCAAUGAAUAUAACAUUUUACCGGAGAUCAUACCCACUGACGACACUGUAUGAUACAACAUUGAUUACAAUGGCGUUUGUAGCGCCAUCAUAGGACAGUUUCUCCCGACCUUUAACCUGUGUGUAGAAUGUGGAAACAAUUGAGGAUAGGGUGGCUAUCCCUAUAUGACAGGUCUGACGGUGCAUCUGAAAUUGCCAUGUAGUUGCAUAGCUGUCAAAGAGUAAGCAUGUGAAAGUUGGGUUACCUCUAUAUUUGUUAGAGUUGGAACUUGGUACAGUUUUGCAAAAUAAGAUGAUAGCUCACAUUUUCUGGAUGACCCAAUGCUUCUUUGGUGAAAUUUGAUCAGCCUUACAUAUACAUUUGAAAUGUUAUGCUGUAUACAGUUCAUCAGGUACUGGAAUUUGCCGGACAUUAAUGUUUCCGUUUUUUAUCUGUUUCUUAUUUUCCGAGUCACAUCUCUACAAUGUUUCCAAUGAGGCAAGGACACCUGUUUUCCUCCUUGCAUGCCAAUUAUUUGAGAGACAAAUAAACAUUGUUGUUGGCCUAUGAAUUAUCACAUCAUUCCCCUGAUUCUUUUUAGAUCAUUUUGUUUUAGAGUUUUUGUUUCUUGAAACCUCAAAAUAGUGACUGGCAUCUUGUCCAUGUUGCAUCAUUUUAUACUGACAAUCAGGAGAUAUAGUUGAUCCUUCAUUUCUCUUGGAACCUUAUCCAAACAUUAGAGAAUGAAACUAAAGCUACGUACAGAGAGAAUGUGUAGACUUCUUGCUGGGCAUGAACUCCGGUUCGCCUAUUACGAGUGAGACCACUUCACUUUGCUUCCAAUAUUGUAGAUGGCGGAAGUGGUGCUCUUACAUACAACCGUUAGAGAAGUAUAUGUAGCCAUUUCCUCUGUAGAAAGGAAUGCUAUUUUAGGUGGUUGUGAGUUUUGAACCUUUCAUUGCCGAAGAGAACCGAUGAUCUUCCUUCACAAGUUUAUUUUUACCUAUGUAUUAUGGUCAUGCUCCCAUUGUUUGGGUGAUUUUACCUAGGCUAUGCACGUACAUAUAAUAUUGCCAUGUUCCCCUUAUUCAUGCAUCACCAACAUUGCUGCCAAAUUGAUGUUCUGUUUCUCUAUGCACUGGUGUUAUAGACUGCCAUUUGUUUUGUCGAACAAUUUGUGAAACUGAUUUUCCAUUGCUCUAUGUACUGGUUUUACAGAUUGCUAUUUGUUUUAUCUAGCUUAGUAAUUCAUUUGGUUUACAUCCUCAUGAUAUAGAUAUACACAUGCCCCUUUCCUAUUUUAGCUAUCAUUUGCCAACCUCUUCAUUAUCUGACUAUGCACAUUUGUUCCUAUAUACAAAUGUGAUUGACAUUAUGGUGUUUACAAAACGACAUGUCACCUCAAUGCCAUUUGUGAAGAACAAGUAUGUGGCUCGGGAGGGCCUGGGUUGACGGAUGCUGUCAUCAGGAGUGGCCACAUUGUUGGGUCCUCAACAAUUUUGACUGAAGACUCCUGGACUUUACCAUUGCGAAAUCAUGUGAGCAGAGGUGUUCCAGGAAUCUUUGGGAAGACGUGUGUAUAUAUGCCAUGUGUCCCACUAUCAUUUUUUGUCUUUGUGAGUUGCUGAAAAGAUCUUAGUCAUUUCAACUCAGAUGAAGUUGUUAGGAUGAUUAGGUCGCAGCUUAUGCAAAAUGUACUGUAAUAGAUUCAGAUAAAUUCUGGAGGGGUGAAACCCUUUGAAGUCAUAGCUAACAUGGCUCUAUGUUACUCCAAUAAGGUAACAAACUAUGCAUGUUAAAUAUAUGUUUUCAAAGAUAAAUUGUCCUUCAUUUUUCG